AGCAGCCGCGGUAAUUCCAGCUCCAAUAGCGUAUAUUAAAGUUGUUGCAGUUAAAAGCUCGUAGUUGAAUUUCGGGAUCAGUACGCCGGUCGUGCCUUCGGUAUGCACUGGUGUCACUGGUUUCUCCCUUCUGAAGAACCAUCAUGCCAUUCAGUUGGUGUGGCGGGGAAUCAGGACUGUUACUUUGAAAAAUUGAGUGUUUAAAGCAGGCUCGCGCUUGAAUACAUUAGCAUGGAAUAAUGAAAUAGGACGUUUGACCCUAUUUUGUUGGUUUCUAGGAUCGACGUAAUGAUUAAUAGGGAUAGUUGGGGGCAUUAGUAUUCAAUUGUCAGAGGUGAAAUUCUUGGAUUUAUUGAAGACUAACUACUGCGAAAGCAUUUGCCAAGGAUGUUUUCAUUAAUCAAGAACGAAAGUUAGGGAUCGAAGACGAUCAGAUACCGUCGUAGUCUUAACCAUAAACUAUGCCGACUAGGGAUCGGAUGAUGUUAAUUUUUAAUGACUCAUUC
rnacentral:misc_RNA from 1 species